rnacentral:lncRNA from 1 species
UUAAAGUAAGUUAAAUCUCAAUCCAAGUCCCUUUGAGUCCUGUGUCUGUUGUUAGGUUUGGGUGGCCAGUUCUCUUUCUGAAACCUGCAUGUAGGAAGCAGAGCACAACACAAAAAUCCGUGCUUUCACCAGGAAGGGUUCUAGUUCUGCAUUUGACUUGGUUAUAACUCAGGGGCAUUCUCAAUUUAAUGGAGGGGCCUCUGAUACUGUUGCAUGAUUUUGAGUGGUUCAGUGAGAGACCUGACUGAUUUAGAGAGAAUAAAGUUUAAGUAGUAAAAUAAACUAUUUUUGUGAGCAAUUUGGUGAUAGCACAGUAAUGCGAGAGGGACCUUGAAUCUAUAUACUUGGAAAACUGAAUGUAUUAUACUAGAAUGUAUAUAUAUGAAAAAAAAUCAAAUUAGUAUUUGUUUUGUAUCUACUUGGAAAACGGGGGCUGUGAAAGGGAAACAGGAGAGGCUGUUGCAGUUGGUACUGCUGGAUCAGAGAGCCUGCUUCUGUGAAGGGGAAAAGAAAACCUGUCUGUGAAAAUGGGGAACAUUAACCCAGCAAUUUUUCUUUCUUUUAACAAUUUUUUUUCUUUUAACAAUUUUUUUCCCCUUGCACGCCUCUUUCUCCUGCCCCCUUGCUCCUUUCCUUAAACAAAAAGCAGAAUUAUUUAAAUGGCCACAAAGGUCUCUAGAAGUUCAUAGUUAUAGACUGGGCAUUAGGUAGUUUCACUUCUAAGAAUCUUAACUUGUAGCUAAAAAGACUGUAUGUAAGGAUUUUAAGAGUAGGGCUUUGGAGUUAAGUAUGCAUCAGUUCCCAAGAGCACUUAGUACUUCCCCAGUUUACUUAACUUAAGGGUAUCUGCAUAUACUUGAGUCAUAGUCUGGCUAGUCAGUUUCUCCCUUGAUAUCCAUAUCACUUGGUUAACACAAGUUAGCUGUGAUGCCCUGAAUUUAACUUUAAUUGAAUUGUUUUGUGAUCUUAGGCUCCUUAGAAGCAUUGCCUCUAGAGGGAGGUUGAAUUCUUUUAAGAAUGACAUACUAGUGUUUUCUCCAAAGCUCUUUGAGUAAUGUUAUCCAGAAGAGAAAUGGGUCCAGUUUUUAGGCGUGUUUUGCCAAAAUAUGUUCUUUACAUAAACAUGGUGGUUAGGGUAAGGGUCCUACCUAUUGCUUCUAAAUAGAAGUCAGUG